CUUUAAAUUUUUGCCAAAAUUGGAAGUACACUGCACUGGCAGUACAGUUUAAGCUCUAAAAAACGCUUACAGGAAGGCAAGUACUUCAAAUGAUCACCAAUAACUUGAGAUAGCAAUGACAUGAUAAAAGUAUACUAUCCAAUUCUUUUGUGCUCUUCAACAGGCCACUUGCAUCCUUCAAAAAUAACAUCAUCUACAUCGAUCGCUCAAACAAUCACAAGACAAGACUUGUUAUGAGUUAUGAGUUAUCAAAAUUAAUAAUAUUUGUAUCAAUAUUAUCAUUUUUUCUGGUGUUUACCCAAUAGAUUCAAUCCACUUACAGACAAAGAUGGUACUUGUACAUUUCACCAUUAUUCUUAGGAUGAGGCACAUGUAGAGAGCAAUAUUUCAGAAAACAACAGCAUCAUGUAUGGAAGGUUUAAAUCUUUCAGACCUUUUCUGCUUGAUUUUUUGAGUGGUGUAGCAGUCAUUCAGCCACUUAAGUCUAUAAAUGGAAAUAAAACACAGAAAAAUGAUGCAGAGUGUAGCUUCAAUGGAUGCCAGAAAUAUGUUUAUGAAAAACUGGCAGAUACUGUUUUGUGCACCAUGCUGGUGAAGACAGCAGUGCAAGCAUAGGUGAAGAUGGAAUCAAGAAAUGCAGAACAGGAGUGAGUCCAUUUAGUCCUGAAAAAACCAUGGAAGAGGUUUCUGCUGGUUUUGGUGUUGCUUUUCCUGCUGGUAGGUAUGAAUCAGGGGAUUCUUAGGAGGAUUAUGAAGAUAUGGAAGAUGAUCCAUUUGUUUCCCCCCUCCUCUCCCCUCCCCUCCUCUUCCCCUUCCUCUCUCCCUCCUCUCCCCUCAUUAGGCAUUCAACUACUGGACAAAGACACAGAGUUGUCAAAUGAAAACAAUGUUCAAGGUAAUUAAUAUGUUGACCAUUUUCACUCUUUGUAUCUUUGUUUUUGUAAAAUGAGUUUUUUUGCUAUAUUGUUCCAUAAUUAUUCAUCUAUAUAAACCUUAUUUGGUUUUUGUUAUUUGCUAAAGAAAGCAUUGUGGUGCUUGUUUACAGCCAGUGAACCAGAUGAUGAAGAUUUUGUCCUGUUUGAGCUCCUCAAGCCUCCCAAAGAUGCUUUUUAUGA